AGUGAACGCUGGCGGUAGGCCUAACACAUGCAAGUCGAACGGCAGCACAGUAAGAGCUUGCUCUUACGGGUGGCGAGUGGCGGACGGGUGAGGAAUACAUCGGAAUCUACUUUUUCGUGGGGGAUAACGUAGGGAAACUUACGCUAAUACAGCAUACGACCUACGGGUGAAAGCAGGGGAUCUUCGGAGCUUGUGCGAUUGAAUGAGCCGAUGUCGGAUUAGCUAGUUGGCGGGGUAAAGGCCCACCAAGGCGACGAUCCGUAGCUGGUCUGAGAGGAUGAUCAGCCACACUGGAACUGAGACACGGUCCAGACUCCUACGGGAGGCAGCAGUGGGGAAUAUUGGACAAUGGGCGCAAGCCUGAUCCAGCCAUACCGCGUGGGUGAAGAAGGCCUUCGGGUUGUAAGGCCCUUUUGUUGGGAAAGAAAAGCAGCAGGUUAAUACCCCGCUGUUCUGACGGUACCCAAAGAAUAAGCACCGGCUAACUUCGUG
rnacentral:rRNA from 1 species